AAGUGGCCAAGGUCUCUCCUUCAUGCGUUCCCUCCAGAGGCCCCCAUACCCCCCACUUUACCCAGGGUGAGGGAGCAGGGCCUGUCCAUGAUCCUAAUAGCACCACGGUGGCCGGGGAAACAUUGGUUGGUGAAGAUCUCCCAACUCCUGUGAGGUUCCCCAUGGCAACUGCUGCUCCUCAGGGACCUGUUGUCCCAGGCUCAUGGGGAGAUACACAUCCCACUAACUUGGGUUGAGGCUGAUGUUGGCUGAGCCGGCCAUUUUGAUGGAACAUUUGUGGGGAUGCAUGCUGCUGUUUGAAUGACAUUACUAACUAACUAACUAACUAACUAACUAACUAACUAACUAACUAACUAACUAACUAACUAACUAACUAACUGAGAUACUAGCUAACUACAUCUUGGGUUGAGGCUGAUAUUGUCUGAGUCAGUCAUUUUGAUGACAUUUGUGGGGGUGCACUCAGCUUUUUGAGCCACAUUACUAACUAACUAACUAACUAACUAACUAACUAACUAACUAACUAACUAACUAACUAACUAACUAACUAACUAACUAACUGACUAAGUGACUAACUGACUGACUAAGUGACUAACUAACUAACUAACUAACUAACUAACUAGCCAUGCUAACUAUCCCACGGUGGCCGGGGAAAAUUUGAUUGGUGGAAAUCUCCCAACUCCCGUGAGGUUCCCCAUGGCAACUGCCGCUUUGCAAGGACCUGUUGUCCCAGGCUCAUGGGGAGACACACCACCCACAUCCAGAAAGGCUGGCCCUGUGGGCGUGGCCCCUGAGAGGCAGACUCUUGCGUGAAUGAGCUUUCAGCUGGUGUUAGAAAGAGCGGGUCAUUUAUCUUUUAUCAUCAUUAACCUCUCAGGUUAACGAGUAUUGCCUCUCCACUCUGGACAACAUCUGUCCUUUCAGAACCAGAUCAGUUCCUGCAGUAAACUCCCAGGCUCAAUUACAGCAUUUGCAGCCUGUGUAUGAAAACACGUCUCCCCGUCCACCUUCUGACAUCCGUUAACUCUGUAGUCAGAGAUGCGAGGGUUGUCUAUUACUCCAACCUGGUGUCGCAGAGACAAAGUCAGUAAGGUAAGAUCUAGCAUCUCUCUUUCAGCCUUAUCUCUCCCAACCCCAACCCGACCCAUGACCCUAGAAAGUUUAGCUCGUGUUUAUUUGCCUGAGCUAGCAUGCCCCUUCGACACUUUCCCCUCAUCUGUGUUUAAAAAUGACACCCCCACUGUGGGAUUAACCCUCUUAUUCCCGUAACCAACUCAUUGGAUCUCUAACUUUUUUCUUUACAUCAGCCUCUUUUGGUUGAGAGAUCGGUACCUCCCUGGGAAAUAAAUUCAUUAUUCUUCUCGUCUCUGGAUUAAAAGAUCUUAACACAAAAGCUUCUUCCCUUUCUUGUUUCAAAUCAUCUUCACUUUACUGCAGCCUUCUGAUGUGCCUGAGUGCAGCCAUUUUUUCAUCUACCUUUAAUAAUUUCUCAUCUGUUUUCUUUAGUUCCCCUGUCAUGUUUUCACAAAAACGCAUCUUUUCUUGAAUUAAAAUAUUAUAUCUAGCAUUAUCUUUUCCCAAUGCAGCCUGUUUCCCAUCAUUACUUUGUGUUGAGGCGUCCUUCAAAGCUAGCUGACUCAUUUUAUGUAACUGGCUGAUCUUCCUUUCUCUAUUAGUCUCAGGUCUGUUCGGAGGUCGCUCAAUCUUUUUUGUGUCAAAAUCGCGUUUUUCUUUUAAUUUUCUGUAAACGCUCAGGUUGUCAUUUUCCUUUCUGAGCGCUGCUAUUCGACUGUCAUUCUCUAAAACGAGUUUAUUUAGAGUAGAAAUCUUUUGAUGGAGGAUUUUCAUUUCUGCAUCAUGUUUCAAGCCUCUCUGUUGCAUAUUUUCUGCAUGUUUGGCUUCUCGUAUUUUAUACUCAAAAGCAGAUUUUUCUCUAAAUGCUGAAAUUUCAUCUUUCACUUUCUGAAUUUCUCUCUCAGUUUGGCUUAUUUUGUUUUUCAACUCCCAGUUGUAUUCUUCUAUAUCGUAUUGCAUUUUAAAAUCGCGUCGAGUGCUCUGACCAACAAUGACUUGUAGUAAGAAAUGAUGUUCUCUGUAUGACGUAUCAAAGCUUAUGAUCACGUGCUUCUAUGAAGCGUUCUGAUCUGCCUUGCUGACGCUUGCUCAGAGGUUACUAGAGGUCGCAACGUUCUAAUUUGCAUAUUCAUGACACAAUUGCGUUGGUUACGUGAACAUUUGCGCCUGGUCACGUGAGUCGAGUAUGAGGAAAAUGAAAGUGUGAUUAUCGCACAAAUCUUUCGGCAAACGUGUUCUGCUGGAAAUACGCGGAUUAAUUGCUCGGGUUGCAGGCACGGAUCCCCGUUUCUGUCAACUUUGAUCUCAGCAGCUGGAGCGGGGAUAAAGACGCGCUUCUUCAGAUAAAAGUGGAUGAUGGCAGCAUCUCAGAAAUUCCUGCUGAGAGUUUACAGCACUACAGAUGUUGUUGUGAAGGUUUCUCUAACUAAGCGGCCUGAGUCAGUGGAAGAACUAAUCACCAUACUCCGGGAGAAGCUCAACCCAAGGCUGGACUUUGAGUUUACCUUACAAUACGAAGACCCUGACUUUGAUGGGCAACUUACCUGUCUACAUGAUAUUCAAGAGCUACUAGAGAAGAGCACAUUAAAAAUAGUGCGAUCCAAAAGUGAUGCCAGUUCUUGUGCAAGUUCUGACACAGACAUCCUUCCUCAUGUGCCUUUAGCUCAGCAUCUGAAGUGUUGGCCUGACACUUUCCCAGUACCUACCUUUUCUUACGAAGUCGAACAUGUCCUUGAGAAGGGAAAUAAAGCCUACGAGAGAAGCUCUUGUUACCACUCAUCCAUGUCUUAAUGAGCCUGGAAGUUAUGGUUGGAAGACCAGUUUAAAAUUUAAGAUGGGAAGUUACCGCACCAAGCUAGCCAGAGCCGGAUGCGCGGAGGUGUCCGUGAAUGCUGGUAGAAGGAGUAUCAACAACCCAGAAGGAGAGUAUCCCCACUCCAACAUAAAAAGAGCACGAAAAGCUGAGGUAAACUACCUCCCAAACUUUCCAAGAGGAGAAGAUAAGGCCAGUCUGGAGGAAUUGAGAGUCCAGAUAAAAAAUGAGGUUGAGAAGACCGAGCCCAACAAAGUAAUGAUUGAAAAACUGAUGCAAACAACCUUUGCACUGCGUCGCCAUGAGAUCGUUCAAGAAAACCCAAUGGUGAAGGACUUCUUAGAGAAAUGGCCAGCUCUGCGAUUUCACUCACAGGUUUGUGCGGAGUUCCACCGAGUCACAAACAUCAACCUGCAGAAACAGUUCUAUGCUGAACUUGACAGACACACACCACGACUUAUGGCUCUAUACAGACAGAAGGCCACAUGCACUGGCAAGAUAUCGGAGGCUCUGCGAAACUUUCUGAAUCAUUAUGAUCACCAGGUGAAUAUUGAUAAAGAUAAAAUUGCUACCACAAAUUUAAAAAGUUUCUAUGUUAAUCACUCAAUUUUGCUUGUUUUUAGACUGCCUAUGGGCUACUGUUAAUUGCUGGGAACAUCUGUUUUCUAUAUACACCAAAGACAAAUAUAAAUGCAACACUUUUGUUUUUGCUCCCAUUAUUCAUGAGCUGAACUCAAACAUCUGAAACUUGGUCCACAUUCACAAAACACCCAUGACUUUCAAAUACUGUUCUGAAAUCUGUCUACAUGUGUGUUAGUGAGCACUUAUCCUUUACCAAGAUAAACCAUCCCACCUCACAGGUGUGGCAUAUCAGGGGGCUGAUUAGACAGCAUGAAUAAUGUACAGGUGUGCCUUAGACUGCCCACAAUAAAAGGCCACCCUAAAAUGUGCAGUUUGAUCAAACAGCACAAUGCCACAGAUGUUGCAACCUUUGAGGGAGCGUGCAAUUGGCAUGCUGACUGCAGGAAUGUCUACCAGAGCUGUUGCCCAUGAAAGGAAUGUUCAUCUCUCUACCAUAAGCCGUCUUUAAAGGCGUUUCAGAGAACUUGGCAGUAUAUCCAACAGGCCUAAAAAAUGGGAGCAAAAACAAAAGUGUUAGUCUAGAUAACCCUGAAAAAAAAAUGUUUAGGGUUUUUGUCAAAUGAGUAAGAAACAAGCUCUUUGUCAUGAGAGACAGGUUGUGUCUCAAAAGAAAUGUCUCCAAAAUUAUGCAGAGCCUAAUGUGUCAUAAACAUGUAUUAUCCCCAGGCAAUGACACCUGUAAACUUAGUGUUAAAUUAACUCUUAUUUUCUUUUCCCUUUAUAGGAAGCACCUGAUGUCGAUGUGAAACGGACUGCAGUGCUACGUGCCCUUCCAGUAUACCUGCGGGAGGAAGACCCAGAAUUCUUUAAGACAUGUGAUGCGGGCACGCUGGAUGAGACGAACCUGACUGACACUCCAGUUGCCCUUCUCACAGUGGUUGCUGACGGCUCUGCUGAGACCAGUCCAGUCCAUUUCAGUCCUUCAAGCAUGGCUGUUGUGGUGGAAGGCGACUUGGUGAUCCGUGAUAUUGCCAGAUUUGCUGAUGCAUAUGCCUUAUUGUUUGGCUUGAUCUAUGCUCUGCAUUUGGACUACCCCAGGAAACUAGUUCACACAUUCACCUUUGUCCAGAAAGUCUUCAUGGGGCUUGAUGAUGGCAAACCACUGAAACCCAGCCUUCAUGCUCUUAGAAAUGAUUUGUUACAGAGUGAGUAGUUAUGAAAGAUAUGCAAGGCAACUGGUUGUUAGGACAGGCACACUGUUACUGAGCACCUUCUUUGAAGUAUUUUAUUUAAAGCACUUUUAAGUUUUCUACAGGCUUUGGGUGGAUGUAAUUCCCAUCAGUUUACCUCAUUUUUUUUAUACAAGGUUAUUUGGGUGCCGAUAAACAUUAUUUGAACCUGUUAAAAAAUAUUUAUUUUAUUUAAUUUUUGUUUAUUUAAAAAAAUCUCUUUUGUGUUUGACCUUUUGUUUUUCAUUUUUAUAUAUUAGAAGAAAGAUGACUUUUAGGACUGAUGUUCUUUUAUGAUUUUAUAAAAAUGUUAUUAAAUGUUAUUAGCAGCAUUUUGUACGCUCACUUGUGCUCCAGUCCAUGUCAGUGGUUCCAUGUUGAUGGUUUUAUAAAAAAAACAUUUAUGUGAUGUUUUUCACAAGUCCAUAAAAAUGUUAAUAAACAAAAUGUUAAGUGAA